UUUCUCUCAGGCUCCAAACCUAAGAAGCCAUUUCUACCACACCCUCCUGAGUUGAAUCAAGUGACAAAGAUGUAGGCGCUGACAUUCAAGCUUAUAAUACCAUGGCCAGCUCCUGUAUGAAUCAGCCCAGGUUGAUUCAGGAGGUGGGACGCAGGAGAGAUCAUAUUCUAAGAUUGGAUGACCUAAGCUACCAUCUUCCUCCUCGUAGGCACCUUUCUGACUCAGAUCCUGCAUAUGUAUCAGAACUUCUUUCAUUUGUUCUCCACUUGUAGCUACAUUUAAGAAAAGAGAUAUGAGAAGAAAUUGAGCAUCAUGUAAUGAUAGGAAAACAUUCCCAGCAAGACGAUUCCCAGCAGUGCUUGUACGUCACAUAGUUCUCACCAUGAUUGGGAGAGUUUCAAAGGGGAGUGAAUCAAUCACACCAAAACAUGUGCCAUUCACACAAUACAAGAGAAGCCCCUCUGGAAUGGUGGGAUAUGGACCUCCAAAAAGCCACUUCUCCCUUACGCGAAUGAGAACACUGACAAAAAUCAUGAAAAUCAGCAUUUUCAGAACUCUGGAUAUUAACCAAAAGCUUGAAACAGUCCUUUGAAUAUUUACACAGGAAAAACAGCUAAAUCUCAGUAAGAACUGCAAGUUUCACGGCUUUUAUCUCUUCCUGUCCCCAUCCCCAUCUCUCCAGCUCUACCAUGGCCAUGACAAACAGCCUCACAAUCACAGUAGCUAUGAAAACUAGCAGCCUAGCAGCCACUGGAGGAGGCAGAACAGAACGCUUUCCAAAUUCCUACUUUAUUUUACACUCACAAUGACCUUAUUAAAUGGCUAAAGCAGAUGAGGAUAGACUGGACAAUCCUGAGACCCAGAGAAGCUGACUUUUAUAUGAUCAGAAUUUGAGUCUGAGAUAAAGUAAAAUUUAAUUACUUCAAGCUAAUGCCAGAAAGGAUGAAGAUGGAUUCACCUCUUCAGAGAUGCUUAUGCUUUCUGCUUUAAAAUAAAAAUGCUAUUCCCGUGC
rnacentral:lncRNA from 1 species